GGUGAUGCUGCAAAGAACCAGGUUUCGAUGAACCCCCCCACCAACGUGGGUUUUGAUGCCAAACAUCUGAUUGGAUACACAUUUGGUGAUAUGAAAUAGGUUAUCCAGUCAGAUAUGAAGCAUUGGCCCUUCGCGGUGGUGAAUGAUGCAGGCAGUCCAAGGAGAAUACAAAGAGGACGUCUCCGCUAGGGUUCUAACAAAGAUGAAGGAAAUCACAGAAGCCUGUCUUGGGAAGACUGUUACCAGAGCUGUGGUCACAGUGCCAGCUUACUUCAGUGACUCUCAGCGUCAGGCCACAAAAGAUGAUGGAACCGUUGCUGGUCCUGUGUACUUCGAAUUAUCAGUGCGCCAACUGCUGCUGCUAUUGCUCUGGCUUAGACUAGGAGAUUGGUGCUGAAAGGAAGGUGCUGACUUUUUAUUUGGGAGGUGGCACUAUUGAGGGUGGGAUCUUUGAGGUCAAAGUGGAGACACCCACUAAGGCAGAGAAGACUUUGACAACCAAUGGUCAACCGUUUUUAUGGCUGAAUUCAAAGGCAAGCAUAAGAAGGACAUCGGUGAGAACAAGAGAGCUCUCUGUACUGCUUAUGAGCGAGCUGUAUGUACCCUCUCUUCCAGCACUCAGGCCACUAUUAAAAUUAAUUCCCUGUAUAAAGGAAUCGUCUUCCAUACCUAUAUCACCCAUGCUCGGUUUGAAGAGUUGAAUGCUGACCUGUUUUAUGGCACUCUGGACCUUGUAGAAAAAAUCCUUUGAGAUGCCAAAUUGGACAAGUCACAGAUCCAUGACAUUGUCCUGUAUCCCCAAGAUUCAGAGGCUUCUGCAAGACUUCUUCAGUGGGAAAGAGCUACGUAAGAGCAUCGACCCUUAUGGUGCAGCUGUCCAGGCAGCCAUCCUAUCUGGAGACUAGUCUGAAAAUGUCCAAGAUUUGCUGCUCUUUGUUGUCACUCCACUUUCCCUGGGUAUAGAAACUGCUGGCAGAGCCAUGACCGUCCUUAUCAAGCACAAUACUACCAUUCCUACCAACCAGACACAGACCUUCACCACCUGCUCUGCUAACCAGCCCGGUGUCCUCGUUCAGGUGUAUGAAGGUGAGCCAGCCUUGACCAAGGACGGCAACCUUGUUGGCAAGUUUGCACUCACAGGCAUCCCUCCUGCACUCCAUGGUGUCCCUCAGAUCAAGGUCACUUUUGAUACUGAUGCAAUGGCGUCCUCAAUGUUUCUGCUGUGGAUUGGAAUGCAGGACAAGAGAACGUGAUUACCAUCACCAGUGACCAGGGUCAUAACAGCAAGGAGGACAUUGAGCAGAUGAUCCAGGAAGCAGAGAAGUACAAAGAUGAGAAACAGAGGGACAAGGAGUCGUCCAAGAAUUUGCUGGAGUCCUAUGCAUUCAACAUGAAAGCCACUGUUGAAGAUGAACUUCGGGGCAAGAUCAAUGAUGAGGAUAAACAGAAGAUUCUGGACAAGGGUAAUGAGAUCAUCAACUGGUUGGAUAAGAAUCAGACUGCAGAGAAGGAGAAUUUGAGCACCAACAGAAAGAGCUGGAGAAAGUCUGCAACCCCAUCAUUACCAAGCUGCACCAGGGCUUUCCUGGUGGGGGAGCUCCUCCCUCUGGUGGUGUUUGCUCAGGGCCCACCAUUGAAGAGGUUGAGUAA